GGCCUGGCCGUGCGGAGCCAGGCGGAUCCGUCCUGACUUGAAGUGUAGGUCGGUGGGGACGGAUCCGUUUGACGUUGACACAAUAUGGUGCGAUUGUGGGCGGAUCCGUCCCCUGUUGACUUUCGGUGUAAAGUAUGGAGUU